rnacentral:lncRNA from 1 species
CUAACAUCUUUCUGAUAACAUUAUUAUGUUGCCUUCUUGUUUCUCACUUUGAUAUUUAAAAGAUGUUCAAUACACUGUUUGAAUGUGCUGGUAACUGCUUUGCUUCUUGAGUAGAGCCACCACCACCAUAGCCCAGCCAGAUGAGUGCUCUGUGGACCCACAGCCUAAGCUGAGUGUGACCCCAGAAGCCACGAUGUGCUCUGUAUCCAGAACACACUUGGCAGAUGGAGGAAGCAUCUGAGUUUGAGACCAUGGCUGUUACAGGGAUCAUGUAAACUUGCUGUUUUUGUUUUUUCCUGCCGGGUGUUGUAUGU